rnacentral:rRNA from 1 species
UACGUAGGGUGCGAGCGUUGUCCGGAAUUACUGGGCGUAAAGAGCUUGUAGGCGGUUCGUCGCGUCGCUCGUGAAAACUGGCAGCUCAACUGUUAGCUUGCGGGCGAUACGGGCGGACUAGAGUACUGCAGGGGAGACUGGAAUUCCUGGUGUAGCGGUGAAAUGCGCAGAUAUCAGGAGGAACACCGGUGGCGAAGGCGGGUCUCUGGGCAGUAACUGACGCUGAGAAGCGAAAGCGUGGGUAGCGAACAGGAUUAGAUACCCUGGUAGUCCACGCCGUAAACGGUGGGCGCUAGGUGUGGGUUUCCUUCCACGGGAUCCGUGCCGUAGCUAACGCAUUAAGCGCCCCGCCUGGGGAGUACGGCCGCAAGGCUAAA